rnacentral:rRNA from 1 species
GAUGAACGCUGGCGGCGUGCCUAAUACAUGCAAGUCGAGCGAACGGACGAGAAGCUUGCUUCUCUGAUGUUAGCGGCGGACGGGUGAGUAACACGUGGAUAACCUACCUAUAAGACUGGGAUAACUUCGGGAAACCGGAGCUAAUACCGGAUAAUAUUUUGAACCGCAUGGUUCAAAAGUGAAAGACGGUCUUGCUGUCACUUAUAGAUGGAUCCGCGCUGCAUUAGCUAGUUGGUAAGGUAACGGCUUACCAAGGCAACGAUGCAUAGCCGACCUGAGAGGGUGAUCGGCCACACCGGAACUGAGACAAGGUCCAGACUCCUACGGGAGGCAGCAGUAGGGAAUCUUCCGCAAUGGGCGAAAGCCUGACGGAGCAACGCCGCGUGAGUGAUGAAGGUCUUCGGAUCGUAAAACUCUGUUAUUAGGGAAGAACAUAUGUGUAAGUAACUGUGCACAUCUUGACGGUACCUAAUCAGAAAGCCACGGCUAACUACGUG